UUUCUUUUCAAUGCUUGGAAUCUUGAAAUUUUUUGUUUCAUGGAUUGGUCAUGGAGCAUAUUUUAUAAAAUUGAUAUGUACCUUGGGUUGUACCACACUUUGCUUGUGUGUGUGCCUUAUGGUGUGUCUUGCAUCAAAGCCUUAGAAGACAUUUGCACCUUAUGUGCUUGCUGUCACGGACUUAGUCUUUUCCUAAGCUCAUGCGACACUUAAACAAGUCAAGACACUUGAUCUUGCUAAGUCAGCCUUACUCCCAAUACCUAGCUUGUUAGGCUAAGAUGCUUACGACUUGGAAGCUUUAGAAGGCGUAGUAGGCAACUCUUAAAGAAUGAAAACUUUUAUUGCUCAAAGGAAGCUUUACAAGUGCUUUGGAAACUCACUUGCUUGGUGCCUUGGCCAAAUGAGGCCUCACCUAUUUAUAGGCACCAAUGGAACUCUUUGGAACCUUGGAGGGUUCCUUACAAAUCAAGAAUAUUCUAAAACACCCUAUACCAUUCUAUGUACAAGCCUAUGUACAAGAAUAUACAAAAGAUCUCUAGAAUUCUCUAGAAGGCCUUGGACUCCUUUCAUGCCUUCCACCAUAGUGUAGAGAUGUGUGGACUUCUCUAGGCAUUUCUAGAAUCUUCCACAUUCUUCCUACUAAUGGCUAAGUGUAGGAGUCUCUAGAAGCUUCUUGGGCUCUAUAUAAACCCAUGGGGAGGCUCAUUUGAAGCAUCUUGUGACACUCUCCCCACCUAAGCUGCAAACAUCUUUGUUGCUCCUUUCGCUUGAAACCGCUCAAUAUGCUCCUGGAACUGCCAUAGUGCAUCUGUUGGCUCCCAACUAGCCUCGCUCUCUAGUAGUCCAUUCCAUUUCACUAAGUACUCCAUAGCAGGAGGCACACCUCAUCUCCUGAUGACUCGAUUUGCAAAGAUGUGUUUUACUUCCUUGUUAUAGGAGGUCACGACCGUCGUAGGUGCCCUCUUAGAAAACCCUCGGCUUGGAUCAUCCUUGUUUUCAUGAUAUGGUUUCACGUAACUUACGUGGAAGAUGGGAUGAAUCUUCAACCUUGGUGGUAACUCAACUUUAUAGGACAACUUGCUGACCUUCCCAAGUAUGGGGAAGGGUCCUUCAUACCUCCUCACAAGGCCCUCAUGCACUGGCCUUAGCGACUUGAAUUGUUGAGGAAGGAGCUUGACCAGCACCAUAUCUCCAACCUUGUACUCUGUGUGAUGUCGCUUCUUGUCAGCUCACUUCUUCAUCUUCCUAGUGGCCUUAUCCAAAUAUGAGCGUGCUAUGUCAACUUGCUCGUGCCACCCUUUUGCGAACUUGAAAGCCGCUGGACUUCUCCUCGUAUAGCCUAUUGUUAGUGUGUGAGGAGUUAAUGGUUGUUACCCUGUGGCUAGCUCGAACGGGAUCUUGUUGGUUGCCUCACCCCUUUGCAAGUUGUAUGAGAACUGGGCUAUAUCUAACAACUUAGCCCAAUCCUUCUGGUUGGCACUCAUGAAGUGCCUCAAGUAAAGCUUCAGUAAGGCAUUCACCCUCUCAGUCUACCCAUUUGUCUGUGGGUGAAAGCUUGUGGAGAAGUAAAGCUUCGAACCCAUAAGCUUGAAAAGCUCCGUCCAAAACUUCUCUGUGAAACGCAGAUCGCGAUCACUGAUAAUGUACUUAGGCAACCCCCAAUACUUGACUACGUGCUUUAAGAAUAACCUUGUCGUCUCCUCCGCAGUGCAGUCGGUCGGGGCUGUUAUGCAGGUCGCAUACUUAGAGAACUUGUCCACUACUACUAUGAUAGAGCCAUUAUCCUCUGACUUGGGUAGCCCGAUGAUGAAGUCCAUGGUGACGCUGUCCCAUGGGCGCUCUGCUAUUGGUAGUGGUUCCAACAGGCCUCUAGGCUAUCGUUGCUCCACUUUGUCUUGUUGUCACACAAGACAAGUCUUCACAUAGGCCUUAACUUCAUCCCAUAUUUGUGGCCAAUAGUAAGCUGACUCAAGUAGUGCCCUCGUGCGUUGUUGCCCAGGGUGUCCAACCCACUUGGUGUCAUGACAUUCCUUAAUCAGAUUCCGCCUUAUGUUUCCCCAUUUAGGCAUGUAGAGUCGUCUCCCCUUAGUGUAAAGUAGGCCAUCCUCUACCCAAAACCACUUAGUUUUCCCUUCAUGAGCCAGAACGAUGAGACUCUUAGCCACUAGAUAAUGUUGCAACCCCUUCCUUAGAAGAUCCAUUAUGUCUUCUUGAGGCUGGCUCGUCAUGGAUGCUAGUUCUGCCUUACGGCUUAGGGCAUCGGCCACAUGAUUAGCGCUUCCUAGGUUAUACUUUAGCGUAUAGUCGAACUCAGCUAGGAAGUCUUGCCACCUAGCUUGCUUAGGACUUAACUUCUUUUGUGUUUGAAAGUAGCUAGUGGCAACAUUGUCGGUCUUCACUAUGAAGUGAGACCCUAGAAGAUAGUGCCUCCAGGUGCUCAAGCAAUGGAUGAUGGCGGUCAUCUCCUUUUCUUGCAUCGUGUAGCAUCUCUUUGUGUCAUUUAGCUUGCGACUCUCGAAGGCGAUCGAAUGCCUAUCCUACAUAAGGACUCCCCCAAUAGCUAAGUUUGAGGCAUUUGUGUGUACCUCAAAAACUUUGGUGUGGUCGGGUAGUGCCAACACCGGCUCCUCAGUCACAACCUUCUUUAGAUCUUCAAAGGCUUGUUGUCACCUUCCAUCCCACUCCCAUGCCUCUUCUUGAGAAGAUUAGUGAGUGGAGCUGCCCUUGCGAAGUACCCUUGAUGAACCACUGGUAAUAGUUAACCAAGCCAAGGAAAGACCUUAGUUGAGGUACCUUAGUAGGUGGAUCCCAUUCCUAAAUGGCCUUCACCUUGCUGUCAUCCAUCAUCAGCUUACCAUCUUUGAUGCGAUGUCCUAGGAAGCUCACUUCUUCCUUAGCAAAGGAGCACUUCUUCUUCUUUACGUAUAACUCGUUCUGCCUUAGGAUCUUGAAGACCUUCCUUAGAUGCUCUACAUGCUCCUUCAGGGUGUUACUGUAGAUGACUGUCAUCCAAGUACACCACCACGAACUUGUCUAAAUAUGGGUGGAAGAUCUUAUUCAUGAGCGUGUAGAACGUCGUUGGGGCAUUGGUGAGGUCGAAGGGCAUCACUAGGAACUCGUAUGAGCCAUACCUGGUCACACUUGUAGUCUUCGACUUAUCCCCCUCCGUAAUCCUUACUUGGUAGUAGCCCAACCUCAAGUCUAGCUUCGUGAAGUAUCUCGCCCUACCAAGUUGAUUGAACAAGUUGGCGAUGAGUGGAAUAGGGUUCUUGUUCUUUAUUGUCACCUUGUUGAGUGCCCGGUAGUCGAUGCACAUCCGUUGGGACCCAUCAUGCUUUUUCUGAAACAAGAUUGGCGCGCCAUAGGGAGCCUUGGAUGGUUGGAUGAACCCUGCGUUCAACAACUCCUUAAGUUGUCUCCUUAGCUCCUCCAGCUCGGGUGAUACCAUUUUGUAUGGCCCCAUAGUGAGGGGCUUAACUCCCGGCUCCAACUCAAUCUUGUGAUCCUCCUUUCUUCUAGGAGGGAGUCUCUUAGGCAACUUGGGCGGCAUCACGUCCUUGAACUCAUCAAGGACUCCCUUGAUUUCCUUAGGCAUGGGUUCUCCCGACCCAUCAUCCUGUUCUUCCUUAAGGGUGGCGAGGUAGGUCACCUCUUUCCUCUUUAACCCCUUCUUUACUUGCAUAGCCGAUAACAUAAGGGUCUUGGGCGAACCUUCGGUGAUCGUAGGGACCAUGCAUGACUUCUCCUCCUCUAGGAUAGCCAUUGAGCCUAGGAAGGGUACUGGCACGACCUUGACCUUCUGUAGGAAGUCCAUCCCCAGUACCAUCUUGAAGUCGUCCAUGAGUGCCACUGUGAAGUCAACCCUUCCUUCUUAAGAGCCAAUGUGCAUAGCCACCCUGCGAGCUACUCCGUGUGAUGGCUUGGUAGUUGAAUUAACUACCUUGAGCCAACCUCCUUCCUUGGAUGCUUAGAGCUCUAGCCUCUUUGCCUCAUCCUCCUAAACAAAGUUAUGAGUGGCACCAGUGUCCACCAGGGCCUUGGUGUCCAUUCCAUUUACAAGGGCCUCUACAUACAUUAGCCCUUUGCUUUGAGGCGUCUUAGGCACUGACUUGGCCUUAAGGGCGUUUAGGAGUUGUAAUGAUCUCACAUGAGCAUUACCCUCCUUCUCUUUUUCCUUGAUCAUAGCAUUUAGGGCUUUUCUCUUGGGGUAAUCUCGCGCCUAGUGUGGCUUAUCACAUAGGAAGCAAUUGGUCAUGGGCGUGAACUCCUUUCGUUUAUCUUUGCCCUUACCAUCCUUGCCACUAAAGGUCUUACUUGAUCCUUUUUUAGGAGUGUACCCCCUUGAUCCCUUGUCUCCCCCGCCUUUGGCAUGAUUACCCUUGGACCGUGGCUUGGGCUUGGAGGAGUCUCCCCUUUUAUAUUCCACCAAGGACUCUGCUACUGCCAUGGUUGUGGCUAGGUCUUAAACACCACGUCUCCUCAACUUUUGCUCGGCCCAGCUUUGGAAGUUGUCCAUUAAGUUGAACAGUAGCUCCUCCUCGGACAUGUUGGGUGUCUCAAGCAUAAGCGUAGAGAACUCUUUGACAUACUCACGGAUUGAGCCCGUGUGCUUGAGACGCUUCAUAUUUUUCCUCGCUAGGUAAGUCACAUCCUCAGGGUAGAAUUGCCUUUUGAUUUCUCACUUAAAGGCAUCCCAUGUGUCUAUGGUGCACGUCCCUUUUUCUAUAUCGGUAAACCUUCGAUGCCACCAUAGAGUAGCAUUAUCAGUGAGGUAGAGGGUUGCGGUGCGUACCUUAGUUGCUUCAUCCGUCAGUGCGAUAGCCUCAAAGUAGCACUCCACGUGCCAUAAGAAGUUUUCUAGCUCCUUGGGAUCCUUCUUGUCACUGAACGUGUGUGGCUUGGGCACCUCCACCCUUGGUGCCUCAUGAGUGGCCAUGACUCGUGCUGAUACAACAAUCUUAUAGAUGGUAAGCUCUUGUCGAAUCUCCUGGUCUCGGGCCUCCAUGCACGUAGCCAAGGCCUCCACCCUUGACUCCAUACUAGCGAACAUGCUCAUGACCUUGUCUUGGAAGGACAUGAACUCCUCGUGUGACACCGGCUGAAAUUGUGGGCCUAGCACCCCCUUAUGAGGGUCUUGAAUCUGCUCCCUUAGAUCCCCUAAGCCCUUCUCCAUGCCUUGCUCGAUCAAGUCCACCCCCUUCUCGGGUGUCUACCAUGGCUAGCUCCACUUUGGCUAGCCUUGCCUCCAUGUUGGCUAUGGCAUCACGAGAUUUAUCCUUCCUGCCCCUGCCCCAUGCAGUAGGCUUGAUCUUCCUCCCACGGGUUUGCUCGCUAGUCUCCUCCACGUUGGAGCCCGACAUGCUUCCUUUACUAUGCCCGCUUCGUAGCCGUGCUCUAAUACCAAUUGUCACAGACUUAGUCUUUUCCUAAGCUCGUGUGGCACUUAGACAAGUCAAGAUAGUUGAUGUUGCUAAGUCAACCUUACUCCCAAUGCCUAGCUUGCUAAGCUAAGAUGCUCACGACUUGGAAGCUUAGAAGGCGUAGUAGACAACUCUUAAAGAAUGAAAACUUUUAUUGCUCAAAGGAAGCUUUACAAGUGCUUUGGGAACUCAUUUGCUUGGUGCCUUGGCCAAAAGAGGUCACACCUAUUUAUAGGCACCAAUGGAACUCUCUGGAACCUUGGAGGGUUCCUUACAAAUCAAAAAUAUUUUAGAACACCCUACACCAUUCCAUGUACAAGUCUAUGUACAAGAAUAUACAAGAGAUCUCUAGAAUUCUCUAGAAAGCCUUGGACUCCUCUCAUACCUUCCACCAUAAUGUAGAGAUGUGCGGACUUCUCUAGGCAUCUCUAGAACCUUCCACACUCUUCCUACUAAUAGCUAAGUGUAGGAGUCUCUAGAAGCUUCCUGGGCUCUAUAUAAACCCAUGGGAAGGCUCAUUUGAAGCAUCCUGUGAC
rnacentral:lncRNA from 1 species